rnacentral:lncRNA from 1 species
ACAAGAAUUACGUGGUUCGGUAAUUAAACCUACAUCCACGGAGGCAAGAAAGAAUAAUUGUUUAUUUAACAAUUAAUAGAAUACAAUAUUUGAGUAACGAAUCUCACUUCCCAGAAACCCAAAUAUACCCAGUACUCUCACACUCUGCAGGAAAGAUAAAUUCCCCAGACACACUUCUCUCACUUCUCUCAAAAGCUUAGAAACUUAUAAGCUUAACAAUUUUGGGAUGCUAAAGAAUGAAAGAAGUGCCAUCUAUUUAUAGGGAAAAUAAUGACACUAUUGCACCAACCCCUUUACUAUUCCACCUAACCUAAGCCAAUAGUCAAUGGUGUCCAUUUGGCAAAUUUGACAAAUUUGCCAACUUUCCAUAUUUUCUUCAAAUGUUUGGUAGCCAUUUGAAAUUUUGCAUGCAUUUUUGAAUUUCAAUGUCACGUGCAUGACUUUUCAACACUAAACAUAACUAAACUACCAUUUACAGAACUAUCUAAAAUAGCCUACAGCUAGUAUGUCCUAAAUAAGGAAAGGAUAAAAGCUUUACAAUCAUAAAGAUAGUUGUUACAGUUGUACAAGCAUAAAAUCUGUUAAGCAUAGAAUCUUCUAUAGAAUCUGCUAACUCAAAUUGAUGCUGGUAAAUCUACAAGCAUCAAUUUGCUAACAAGAAAGUUAUGUCGCUGAAGUGUCAUGGGCUUGGUGAAGAUAUCCGCAAUUUGUAGAGUAGUAGAGAUAUGCGGGAGAGUGAUAACUUGGCGGUCAUAGGCCUCGCGAAUAGAGUGGCAGUCAACCUCUAUGUGUUUCGUGCGCUCGUGGUAGACAGGGUUGGCUGUAAUUUGGAUGGCACUAGUGUUGUCAGCAUGUAGGGGAGUAGGUUGAUGUUGUGAGAAACCAAGUUCUGUUAAAAGACCACGCAGCCAAAUGAUCUCGAAGCAUGCUGCAGACAUGGCGCGGUGUUCUACCUCAGUGGAUGAUUUGGAACUGAGUCUUGCUUUUUGCAUUUCUAAGAGAUAAGUGCAUCACCAAGAAACAUGCACCAUCGCAUAGUAGAUUUUCUCGUGUCCAGGCAGCCAGCCCAAUCUGCAUCACUGUAGGCUUGUAGUUGGAGUGAAGAACCAGUAAGGAAGAAUAAACCACGGCUAGGAGUGCCAAGAAAUAUCACCCAAAUGCGAAGUUUGAACUCAUCCGAACUUAUCCAAAAUAUUCAUCCGAUCCGAUUUAUUUUGGAUGGGAUAGGAUUUGAGAUUUGGAUUGGAAUCGGAUGGAUUUUUUCCCAAUCCAAAUGUAAAGUUGCCUAGCCCUAAUUUCUAAAUCCUUCAAUGAGGUUAGCUAAUUACAUAUUGAUUGCGAUUAUGGGAUUUCUGGCUUCUUAGGGAGAAAAGGAAGAAAAAAAUAAAAAAUAAAAAAGAAUUUACAUGUAAAACUUUGGGCAUAGUUUCAUAUGAAUUUAGUUGAGGACAACUUUAAUUUCUUAUUCGUGUUAGUAUCAAUGAUCUGUCUUGUUAACAUAAAUAUGUUAAUAAUAUUGAUUUUGAUGAUAACAAAUUUUAAAUGAUUUUUGAUAAAAGUAUUGGAGCUAUUUCUUAAUAAACGAGAGCCUUAGUAAUCAUUCCAUUCAUGCUUCAUAAAAGAUGGACUUUAAAAUUAGAAAAAGUUUCUCUACAAAAACUGGUUUAAAAUGCAAUUCUGGUUAUAAACGGUGAACCGUUUAUUUAAACGGUUAACCGAUAACAGCCAGAGAGCCACAUAUUUCCUAAACCUCUAACCGUUUAUGAAAAACGGAAAACACAAAAGAUGGGAAGGUUACUGGAACUUAACGGUGAACCGUUUAUUUUAAACGGUUAACCGAUAACGUCCAGAAUUGAAGGUUGUCCUCCUCUGGCACUGAUUAACGAAAACUGAUAAGGCUAAAUUGUUUUGCAGGUUACUGGAGACAAACGGCGAACCGUUUAUAUCAAACGGUUAACCGAUAAUGUCCAGAGAAGCCACUUCACGCAAGUCCUUAACCGUUUAGCGUAAACGGAUAACAAAUGCUCAUCUUGCAGGUCUCUGGNNNNNNNNNNNNNNNNNNNNNNNNNNNNNNNNNNNNNNNNNNNNNNNNNNNNNNNNNNNNNNNNNNNNNNNNNNNNNNNNNNNNNNNNNNNNNNNNNNNNNNNAGCUAUAAAUAAGCUCAUUCAAAUUCAAACAAAAGCUGAUCACAACACGACUACUGAGCAUAUACUUGAGACUACAAUCUUCAUUGAGCUAUUAAAAUACAUUCUUGCUUCAUCUAUCCAUAUAUUGGGUAUCAUUGUGUAAUCUUUUAUAUUGUGAGAGGCAAAACAAUUUGUAAUCUUUUAUUUUGAGUGAUUGUAAGUGUUGGGAUACACUUGGGUUAAGAGAUUGGGGAUAAUCUCUUGUUGUAAAGGUCCAUUGACACCUUGGAAGUCAAGUGUAAGCAUUUGAAGCCUUGGAGGCUUGCUUAGUGGAAUCCUCAAGCCCGGAAAGCUUGGAGGCGUGGACGUAGGCGAGGUUGGCCGAACCACGUAAAAAUCUCGGUGUUUGAAUCCCUCUUCCCUUAUCUUUUUAUAUUGUGAUUCUCUUAAUUGUUAUUGCUUUGAAUUUGAUUUAUAAUUGCAUUAAGAUUUUCUUUAAUAAAUUGAAUAAUUUUUUAGAAUCCCAAUUCACCCCCCCUCUUGGGUUGCAUACUUGUAUUUCAUGUCUAUUACUUAUUGGGGCCUUAUAAUGUAAAUGUCGAAUGGGGUUGCAACAUUGAUAGCGGGAAUGGUAGUUGCUGCUGCUGCUUAUGCUGGUAAGUAUGGCAUCACGGCCUGGCAGGCAUUCAAGGCACAAACGCCGACGGCUAGAAUGCGGAAAGUUUUCGAAGGUAGUUUUCAGCCUGUCAUGACAAGGAGGGAAGCGGCUAUGAUACUUGGAGUCAGGUACAAUUGAUAUCCGCUUGUCAAAUAAUAUAUGUAUGUUUAAUAGCAUUAGUUGAAAAUUUUGGUUGAUUUGAUGUUGUGAUGUUAAUGUAAUGGAGGAGCUCACUCUUAUUUGGGUGAUCUUUCUCGUGUGGGAAGAUAAGGGUUAACAGUUAACGUUUCAUUUUAUUUUCAGUUGGCUUUAAGUUAGUUUGAGGUACUUGGCUAGUUAUGAAAUGGACCUCAUUUCAAAUUAAAGCCUUGUUUGAUUACCUAAUAAUCCUGAAAUUCUCUGAGCCCUUUUAUCAUUUGACUUUAAGCUGUCGAUGAUUGUUUGGUUCUGUUAGUUUAAAACCAGAGGAAGUUGUAGGCUGAUGUGUGAGUGUGAAUAUGAAUCCUUGUGUCUCAUUCAAAUUUCAAUAUCUUACUGUAGCUACAUCGGCAAUGAGUUCUUCGUUUUAGAUUUAGGACAGUGAACAAUUUUGUGGUGAAGGGGCAAGUUAAACUCACAUUUGCUCGAUAUACGUCAAAUUGUAAACCCGCUGUUGUUUACACUUCUGUUACUAUUGUCAACACAAUGAUACAAAACCAAUGCUUCUUUCCUGUUCAUAGAAUUUUGUACCUUUAUGCUGCUUGUGUUCAAUAUGAUUAUGCAAAUUCUGCUGUUAAAAGUGUUCUGAGCUUAAUUUCUCUCUUUUAACUUCUUUUAUUCAUCAGAGAAAGUACUCCAACAGAAAAGGUCAAAGAAUCUCAUAGAAGAGUGAUGGUAGCAAACCAUCCAGAUGCGGGCGGUAGCCAUUACCUUGCAUCUAAAAUUAAUGAAGCAAAAGCUAUUAUGCUGAGAAGAACCAAACGCAGCAAUUCUGCAUUUUAGUAGGACUAUCCCAAUCUCUGUGAGGCUUCAUCCACAAAAGCUUUGGGAGUUGAGUUUCCAAAGUCAACUUUGUUGUAUUCUUCCAGUUAUUCAAUGGAUUCUUUCAGACCAUUAUUGUGCACUACAUUGAAAAUCGGAUUCCACCNNNNNNNNNNNNNNNNNNNNNNNNNNNNNNNNNNNNNNNCCCCCCCCCAAAAAACCCCCACGGGAUAAAUCAGUUUAGAGUUGAGGGAAACUUGUUUGUGUCAGCUAAUAUAUUAGUGAUUAAAUUGAUGGUAAUGAUUGUACUUUUUGUUGCUUUGUUUUUUCUAAUGAUGCUAGCCUGUAUUCUUCACACUCUAUUUUUGUUUGGUGAUAAUUGAAUCACUUUCGUGUAUCAUGAAGCUUUGAGGACUAAGCAAGCAAUGUGAAUGUUGUACGGACAUGUGUAGUAAUUUUUCCGAAGGACAUGAUAUAUCACCCGGGUACAAACCUACGAUGGCGUCCACAAAAAUAUGCAAUGCCAUGUUCAUUUUGUAGUUAAAGGUUAAGAGUAACUCCCCUAAAUAUUUCUUCUGACUUAUGCAUGUGCCUCAGCUUAAACUCGGAGUGAAAUCUUUGUUAAAAGAAAAUCAAUUUUUGCUAGCAGAACUACUCAAAUGUUCGACUUCAUUAUUUCUGUACUCAUUUGUCACUUCGGUAUGUAAUCUACUGGCUUGCACGCUUCCUCUACUCCACAGAAUAGUCCUUGAUACAUUGCCGUAUCGGUGCACAGACUCCUACUCCUAUCAAGUAAAAUUGAUUCACGUAUGUAAAUAUUUUAAUUUGAUUCUAGUAGUAUACACGCAUCCCAGUAAAAUUGAUUCGCGAAUACAAUUACUUCGUGGCAUAAUUUGAUUGGAGAGGUAUGCACACAGCUAUCCUUACGAAAGAUUCUAUAACUUCUCAGGGUGACAUUGAGGAAGAAUAAUUAACAAUGAGAUUAACAACUCUUACCGUAGAAUAAGUAACUCAACAAGUUGCUGCCUUCAUACUUCUACUUCUCAAAUUAGUUUGUCAUCCAAAAAUUGUGAUACAGCUUUAAAAUUUCAUCGUUCUCAUGCUCUCUGAGCAGAAGAGCUACCUGUGGUAUUUACAAAGAAUUGGGAGGAUCAAAACGAAAAGAAAAAACCCUAGUAAAUUUGUUGUGGGAUAUUGUUUUUCAUUGGCAAAGCUGUAUGCUAUUGUUUUUCAUUCACUGGAUGAAUUGGUAACGCUGUACGCCCUUUUGGUAUCUCCUUCAUAUGGAGUUUCACCCAUUUCGGUUUUCUGCUCAAGAGGACCUUGAGGGCUUCCAAAAGAUUUUUCCAUAAUCAUUUUUUAUCAUCACUUUCCUUUUUAGCUUGAGAAGCAUAGUUUUAAUAUCAUCUUAAAAUCUGUAAUUGUUGUAUACCUUACCUAUAUGUGUUGAUAAAUUCUAAUGAAAUGUUGGAUACAAUUAAAUUAAGGAAAAAAAUAAAUUAUCUAUUUUUUUCAAACUCAAAUACAAUAAAUAUAUCUCUAAUUAAAGUGAAUGACUUAUUCUACACUACCGACUAAUAAAAAGUGCAAUCUCUUAAUCCACGUUUUGAGUCUCCAACAACUCUGAUAGUGACGAUGAUGGUAAAGUGGAUGUGAAGGUGAAGGGUAAAUGAAAGUAAUACAACAUUACUUAGAAUUUAUAUGGUUUUAUUAAAUUUGGGUUUAAUAGGGUUUUACAUCUCGAGACAAUAAAAUGAUGAUUUUAUAAACAUUAGAGACAUUCUUAUAUAAAAAUUAAAUAAAAUAAUUAACUCAGUAUGUUUCUUGACUCCUUCUAAACAAUUCAUUAUCUCUCCUUACACUAGACUUAAGCAAAAAAAAAAAAAAUGUUCCUAUUUAUAUUUGUUUACUUUAUUUACUUGGCCUAUUCAAUGUUCACGACAAAUAAUACAUAUAUGCGUGUCAAAAUUGACAUCAAACAACCUAACUAGAUUUCUUUCAUGGCUAUCACUUUGUGUGCAGGUCAAAAUAAAAAAACAACCAAUCAAUAAUAAGAUAGAGAGUAAAGGCUAUUGCCUUGUGCAGUCAAGAAAACUGAAAGAGUGGAAGAGGAAAGAGAUUCAAUAUUACUUUAAAUUCGAAGUAAUUAAUUAACCUCAUUCAUAUCAUGUGAUUCUUAUUAAACGAAUAAUAAAUUUUCACAAUUUUCAAAAUGUUUUAUUGAAUAAACUACACUCAUCAUUCAUCUGUGGGUAUCAUAUUACUUUAAGGAAAAAAAAUUGAGAUGAUUUUUUCCAUUGCUCAAGAAAUAAUUAUAAUGCAACUGUUUCAGGGGCGUAGUUCCAAUGCCAUAACUUAUGAUAUGUUUUUAUGAAAGAUCUAUGUAAUAAAAAAAAAUGCAACAAAUGAAUGACUAAUUAAAACAAAGAAAAAAACAAGCACAAAUGCAGUAAAUUCGUUUUGUCUUUCUCGCAAGUGAUUUUGCAGGCGUUAUAGUCUAGGAGCCCAUGUAUUUUAUUACGGUUAUUACUUUGAUAAAGAGCUGUGAUUGUGUCUAGAAUAAUUAAAUAGAAAUAAGAUUGUGAAAUGCAUUGUACGGAUCAAUUCAGAUAAUAUAAUACUACUGAAAAAUAUAUAUCAAUUGAUGCGUUAGCAAUUAACAAUUAAUCGGCAUCUUCUCUAUUUGCAAUCAGCAAUGACAAAAUUACAAAUUACAAAUAUGUGCUUGACAUAGUCUUAAUCAUCUGCAACUUCCUUUCAUUCUUCUUUUUUUCUUUUUUUUGAGAGAGAGAGGGCAACUUCCUUUAAUUCAAAAUUGGGAACUUUUUGGCCCUUUCCACUUAACCUUACUAAACAUCUUCGAUCCUUUCACUAAAUUCAAGUUUUUUCCAGUCUCCUUACCCAUGUCAAAAAGACUAAAAUACCCUUCAGGCAUCAAAAUUUCCCAAUAAGACAUGGAGAUGAAAAGAAUUUAUUCUGUGACUGUUCUAAUGCUAUAUUGAUGGUGUGUAAGACAUUACAAUUGCAGGAAGAAGAGGAUGAAAUUGAUAGAAAUGGAAAUAGUAAUAUAUACGUGUCAAGUGCUGACAGCUUUCUUGUUUGCUUUGCUUCGGGUUGCCAUGUAGAAGAAUUUUCAACAGACCAUAAAAAAUACAAUAUCAACCGAACAAUAUUUUAUUAUGCAAUAUCUUUUUUCUUUUUUCGGGUGAGACUAAUUAAUUUAACUUCAACUUUUUAUAAAAAGCUUUUGACAUUAAAAAUUUUUUGAAUAUUUUUUUUCAUUAAAAAAAGCUGUUAUAUAUUUUUUAAAAUUUUGAAUAUCUACCAUUGGAUUAUACAAAAAUAAUGGAUGAGAAUUUAUGUCAAUAUUUGAAAUUAAAAAUUUUUAAUUAGAAUCCCUUGUCCUUUUCUAAUACUUUUUAAAUAAAUUCUUCAGUGUAAUAUGACAGCUGAAAUUUGUACAAGGUAAUCUGAAAAUUAAACGAAUCUAAAAUCUAAAAAUAAUUUUCUGUUGUUUUUGUUUGGUUUCGUUUUGUCAUUCCUUUGUGAAACAAUACCGCCGGUUCACCCAAAGUUAAUCAUAAAAUUAAUCAAUUUAAUUAAUUUAACGAUCGGUUUGUUCAAGUAAAUUACUAAAUAAAAUGUCUUAACAUUGAUGUUCCAUUAUCUUCUAUUUCGUUUAUAGUAACUCAAUUCUUUCACAUCCGUAUGAGUAGAGUUUGAAUCUCCAACUAUAUUUGUGUCGAUCUGAAAAAUUUUACGUUAUUUUCCUUAGUUAUAUGAAAACAUGACACGUAUACAGGGUAAAGGCCACUACUGUGAUGGAAUCAAAAAGGAAAGCUGAUAAGAGGAUCUCCAAUCAGUUGCUUUCCGUGGCUGUUGAAAGAGACCAAAUUUGCAAAGGCAGUGGUCUGCGGGUUCCAUAAUAAUUUUAUUUUUAUUUCUUUUUCCUUUUCCAACUUUCGUUAAAUUCAAUUUUUGAUAUAAUUUUUGAAUUUGACGGUUAGAAAUUUAUGGUCGGCCUAUUUUAUUCAUUUUAAAAUGAAAUCCGCAAUGAUGGAUCCACAGUGGGUUUUUAAUCUUCCUUCUAAAACCUCUAUUGAUCUGGGAUCUUCUAUGCUUUCUAAUUUGCUUAGCGUCUAGAACAAUCAGUAGCCAGCUGGAAUUGUGGGCCUUAUCUUAUGGCAGUGCUUGUAAUAGAGAUGGGAAAAUUCUUGGUGUGGAGAGACACGAGAGAAAGACGAGAGAAACAAUGAAAAAAGAGGUAAAGAGAGAGAGUGAGUGGGUAGAGAGAGAGCAAAAUUCUCUCAUUUUUCUCUCGUGCCGCCCUAGGCUUAAGUAUCGGGCCGCCCAGCCUGUCCUGCUGGCCUGUCUGUGAUUUCUGUUCUAUUUUUAUGUAUUUUCCCUUGGCUUUUCUAUUUCAUUUCUUGAAUCUCCAUUGAUUAACUUUCAAUAAACCAUAAAAUAAACUAAGGAAUCAUUUUCUCGAACGCAGCUAUGAUUUUAAUAAAGGGGCGGACCAUCUAGAAUAGUAUAUAUAAUUAUGUUUAAUUAAUAAGUUGAAAAAACCAUCAAGAGAAAUUAUAAUAUUAUGAGCUUGACACGAACUCUUCACUAAUUCCAAAUAAAGGAGUUGUUUUAUAAGGAUUGUGGUUGGAUUAUCAGGUCUUACAAUUUGAAUAUGAAUAGGAAAAUAAAAUAAAAUCGGUCACAGCCGAUGUAUUCGGUACACUUCGCUGCUCUCAACUUAAUUAAUUACUUUAUUUCCUCGCGGGCACUAUAUGAUGGGUCCAAGAUGAGACCUACGAAUUACGAUAAUCAAUCCCAUUAUUUAGUAUGUCUAUCAAACAGCUAGUGUUAUUUUGUGUUUGGUGGAAGAGAUUGAAUAUUUAGUUUUAACUUAACCAUUCAACUAAGUAGAAAAUAAAUAAAAUAAGAUGAAAUGUUUGGUUAUUAAUUUAAAUAAUAAUAUCGGGGAUAUAAAUUAAUUAUAAUAUAGUUCAUUACAUAAUUACACAUGAACAUAGAUGUAUAUGCAUUCCAAAGUGCUCACAGCACUUUUCUCACCAAACUUUCCUCUGAAUUUCCCGUAGCUGACUCCUUUCUUUGCGUUUUUCGAAAUUUCUCGAAACUUUUCUAUUUAAUAUAUUAUACAAUUUUUUUUCGGGUGAGACUAAUUUAACUUAAAUUAGAGAAUCUUAUCCUUUUUUUAAUAUUAUUUAAAUAAAAUUUGUCUAUCUUUCAUUUUAUCAGUCUACUUUCUACCCAUUAAUUAAGACUUUUCCAUUUUCUUUUUUCUUAAGAUUUUCAUUGACUAUCUUUCAAUAAACCAUAAAAAUUACUAAGUCAUUUAUCGAACAGACAGAUGACCAUAUUUCAAAAUAUAAACUACAAGCUGCCCUUAAAUAUUUAAUUAAUAGUUGAAGAAUUGUGAUCAGUGUGGACAUCUACAUAAAAAUUAUAUUGAAACACAGCUAAAAGAUUAAAAUAAAAUAAAAUAGCACAAACAUACACCUAUAGGUUAAAAAAAAAAAACACCAACCAAUACACUAAAAUGUUUUAGCUGUUGUUAGUUUUCAGUUUCAUUACUUAAGUCCCACGUGCAUAAGUCACGUGACUGAGGUGAAAAAAAGAUUGUCCCAUUAAAGUUUGAAGUACGAAGAGGGGUAAUUAAGAAUCUCCCAUUUCAUUGUCAACCAAAAAGACACUUGAAGAAGUUUGUACAUCCAACAUUUCUCAUAUCCUAAGAGCCUUUCCGUAUCAAAUUAAAGUAGUAGUAGCAAAAUCGCACUGCGCAUUCAAUUAAACAACUAAUAGUCUAAGAAGCAAAGAGAGGAUUACACGUUCACAACACCAUUGCAAAGGAUUCAAAAUAAAACAGAAUUCCCACACGAAAACGUCCAUGUACAGAUAUAAAUGGACACAAGAAAAUCCCUUCAAUGGAUUGCUUGCCUUCCUAAAGCUAUAUCCAGUGCAAACUGCGCACUGGCCAAGAAAAUGUUUUCAAUUUAGUGUAUUUUCAAAACGCUUAGGGCUCGUUUGGUAAUGUUUUUUGCUCGGUGUUUUAAAAAUUGUUAAAACAUGUAAUCUUCAGAAGCAUAUAAUAUAAGAACACUUCCACAAAUUACUAUAAUUUCAUGCAGUAGAGAUUGAAGAGUUGAAUUCCACUUAUAGUCACAGACCACUUGUUUUGUCCAAUGUUAAUAAUGAAAACAACAACAGAGGAUUAACUGAUGCUUUGACUUAUUAGCAUAUUGCAAUGAAUUAUUAACUGAUGCUUUGACUUAUCAGUUCUACAACUAAGGGGCUGUUUUUUUUUUUUUUAAAAGUUAUUGACUUAAUUGAUUUAGGGGCUGUUUUGUUUUUUGACUUAAAGACUUAAUUUUAAUAAGUUAAGUCAUUAAGUCUGUUUAUUUUUUCAACUUAAUGAAGAUUUUCAGCAAUUAAGCCAUUAAUUUAUUAAGCUAAUUUUUUUAACUUUUUACUUAAUCUAUAAAAAGUCUAAAUGCUAUCAUUAAAAGAUAUUUUUCAAAAUAUCCCUAUCUAAUUAAUUAAUUGUCACCCUUAACUAAAUAAAAUUUAAUAAUUAGCAUUAUUACCCAUCUGUAUUUAACUUAUGAAAAUAUAUAGUGAUAGACUAUUAUUUUUUAUCUUUUUAUUUUGUUCAAAUUAGCAUUAUUUAUCUUCAUAAUUUUUUAUAAAUAUUUUUCAUAUAAAAACAUCACAAGCUAUAAUAAAAUUGACUAACAUAUAUGAUAUAAAAUAUUAAAGAGUUAUAUUCAAUUGAAUAUGAUUUAUGUUAUGAUAAUUUAUUAUCUUAUUUAUAUUAUUUGAGAUGUUUAUUAUUUAUUUAACAAUAUAAUUUGUAUGGGCAUAAAUGUAAAAAUAUUAAUUUUCAGAUUUUUAAAUUAAAAAACAAACAAAUUAAUAUUUAUUUUUAGCUAUUAAAAAAAAUGUCAUUCUUUAGAUCUCAAACAAAAAAACAAACGCCACCUAAGUUAAAUAAAAUAAGGUAUUUUCAAAAGCAAAAAGGAACACACAGAUAAAACAUCGUCUUAAACAAAUCAUAAUCUAGAAUUAGAGCAUUUUGGACAUAGUUAAAAGAAUUCGUGAAAACGGGUGAUUCAUUUGUUAAGGAGUGUUGAUUUGAUCGGCUCUGCAAAUUCUCUUGGGACUCGGUUCCAAUUCCUCUUCAUUAGAAGUUCCACUCGCGCUUGCCAAAUCAUCCAAUUUUCAAACUUCGGUAGCAAAAUUGAGAGUAAAAGUGUUGGCUUUGGUCUCGUUGGGAUUUGCAUAUACUGGACACAGUCCACAACGUUUCACCCCGUAACCACCAUAUAAGGCAUUCCCAACGGCAGGGAAGAACUCAAAGGAGACAGUUGUAUGGUUGUUACCAUCAGGAAACCCAACAUUCAUGCAGAGACAAAAUCCAAGUAUGACAUGAUCUGAAUCAAUUGGGCGUUGUAAAUCUUCGAAAUGGUUAUACCGAUUAACAUGUUUGGCUUCAGAGACAGUCUUUGUUUCCAAGCGGAAGCGAUACCUGACGGAGACGAAUGGAUCCCUGAGUGAGCUGAAUUGACGCCCGUCUCCAAUUGUAUCCAAAAAAUCAAGAUCUUGCUUAAAACCAAGAACAGCACAAAAAGCAAACCCGAUUAAGUUUCUGCAAAAAGAAUGCGACAGCAGUUGAAUACUCAUCAAAUGUCCUGAACUUUGAUUCCUGAACCAGUCAGGAAUUUCGCUCCCAGGUAAAGCAAUUGUGCAUGCCUUGGGUGCAAUACGUUUCUGUGAAAUGACAUUUAAAAAAAAGAAAAAAAUAAAUUGUAAAAUGAAAACCAUGAUUUCAGAUAUAACAAAGAGGGACAGAGUAAAAGAAAGAGGGAAGUUGAUACCUUGUUUUUUACUCUUUCAUCUAAUCGUCUCAGUAAAGCAAUUGUCAUAUGCUGAAUUCUUAGUCGUAAAUCUGCCAAAAUCCUGUUGUUUGCUUUUUCAUUCAGUUUCAAGCAGUUAGUAAACUGGUGCGAAAUUUCUGUCGGAUAGACAACACGAGGGUUGUUGGAGUAUUUGGAUAGAUUUUCGGGUACGGAUGCAUCUAGUUCUUCUACAGAUGACCGAAUCUCUGGCAAAGAUUGGAGCAACUUGCAAUUCCCUGCUCUUAGACGUCGUAGACGCAAUGGAAGUUCUGGUAAUGACUGAAGCAUGUUACAACCGCUCAAAUUAAGAAAUCCUAGACACGAUGGAAGUUCUGGUAAUGACCGAAGCAUGUUACAAUCGCUCAAGUCAAGACUACUCAGCUGCGACAGUUGCUUGAUACUUACAGGUAAACUCUCAAAGCUAUUUCCACUUAGAUCUAAUUCUUCCAGUGAGGAUAGACAGCCAAUCUCUUGUGGAAUAUCCGUUACAGCACAAUCCCUUAAAUGUAGACACUCCAAAGAAGAUAAACCCGAUAAUAAUAAUGGAGGCAAUGAUACCAAAUUUCUGCAUCUAGGGAACCAAAGAUAUCUAAGUACGUUUGAAUCUGCAACAGAGGAUGGUAGUUGACUAAUAGCUGAUCCAUCUGCAAGGAUGUAAGCCAAAGAUUCUAAAUUGCCAAUGUUAUCCGGCAACUUAUCAAGUUUAGAGCAACCCCUUACGCUCAAUGAUUCAAGCCCCAGUAGAUUUUCAAAUGAAGAUGGCAGCUCUGUAAUUGCCGUCCUUUGUAAAUAGAUGUGUUUUAAAUGUUCCAUUUUCUCCAAGAUUUCCGGGAAACGCUCAAGGUUCAAGCAGCCAUGAAGAAAAAGAUCAACCAAAGAUUUCAAUUUACAAAACCUAGUUGAAAUCCUCUUCAGCCGUCUGCAAUCCCUCAAAUCCAACUUUUCAAGAUCAGUUAGGCACUCUAUUGAUGAUGGAACUUCUUCUAUUGCAGACUGGCCUAAGUAUAGCCGUGUAAUUUUCCCAGAAAUCUGUGGAAACUCUAUGAGAUUAACACAAGAGGAGAAAUUAAUAGUUACUGGACAAACAAAAUGAAGAUUGCUUGGAAAAGACCUAAGACUUUUGCAGCCCUCAAAAGACAACGCACUGAGAUACUUGAAAUUCUGGAUAGAUGAGGGAACACAAGCCUUUUCUCCUUCCCAAGGUUGCUCAACUUUACUAAAACGCAAAUUCAGUUCAACAAGGUUCUUUGGCUUGAAAUUUGAUGGCAGUGUCCUUAAUGGAUAUGUGUCCCAAUGAAGAUAUCUCAAUUUUUUAGGAAGAUAAUCUAGGCCAUUUGGGCCAUUUGGAAGCUGCACUUUAGAGUAGCAAUCUCAGAUUAGACAUAUUUGUGAAGGCUCCGGGGUCUAGAUUGAUGCCUUUUAUUUUGGACAAAUCCAAAAAUAUGCCUUCAAUUGCAUCGGUCCCCUUAAAAAAAAAACACACACACAAAGAAUGAGUAAGCCUGAAACCCAGAAGAAACAUUCGUAAACCUUAUUAACUAAGAGCUCCUUAAACAAGAACAAAUUCUGCAAUCUUUGAUUUUAUUUUUUUAAAUAUUAAAUAUCUAUAAGCGAGAAGAGAAAAAUUUGGGGACCAUUGCAAAAUUAAACUAACCCCAAAAAAAAAAAUAUCUGAACACCGUUCAAAAUUUCAAAUUUUCAAAAUUUUCUCUAAUUUACAAACUUGUUAUCUUAAUAUCUAGAAGUUGAGAAGAUAGGGCCUAUUUGAUAAGAUUUCAGUUUUUUUUUUUUUUUCAGUCGAUACAAUCCAAAAUGUUAGUUCAAAAUUAGGGGAAAAAAUUAAAAGUCAUUUUUUACCCUAGCUGUAAUUGUAUCCAAGUCAAAUUCAGAUACGACCCUUUUCGAAAAGAUUUAGCUAUCUUGCAGCCUCCGUAAGUUACAUUUAAGCUAAAAAAAAGUGAUUGGAGGUAGAACAUAUAGGCCAAUCAGUCCAUUUUAUUAUUAUUAGGGACUGCAGCUUAAAAAGAUAAAAUUAUACUUUAAACACAUUUACUUUUUUGAAAAAAAUAUAAUUAUAUUGAAGUAGAACCAGGUGGGCCAAUUCUCAUAGCACUCACUUUGUUCUAACACUCUUCACUAAAUUUGAAAAAAUAAAAUUAUACUCUAAACACACUUAUUCAACAUUCGAAAAUUGAUAAAAUCUGGAGUUUUCUCUAAAAAUUUAAAAUUUGAAGACUUGUUCUCUUGACACCCUCAGUCAUUAAUUUUACCUAAUUAUAGUUUUUAUGAUUUUGGUUGUUUUGUUUAUAAAAAUACUUUUACUAAAGGAUGUUCUGGUAAUAAUAAAAUUUAUAAAAAAGCAUGGCUGUGUUGUAUGGUUGGAAAAAUAUGAGUGCAUACCUCCAAACAAAUAAAAGAUUUAAAAAAUAAAAAAAAGGGGAUUCUUACUUUAUUAUGCUUGAGUACGCGGCGGAUUUCCUUAGGAUCCCACAACCUGCUACGUUUGCCGGGCUCUUUCUCAGAUUCUUGGCGAACAAUCUCUCGGCCCAUUUCUUGCAAUAAAUCAUGCAUUCGCAAGCAGUUAUGUGAUACUGUUAUGAGUGACUUGUCAAUGAGGACUUCCAGUCCGUAAGACCCAUAAUCAUCAAGUAUUCUCGUCACAAAAUCUUUAUCCUCUCCCUCAAAGAAACACGCAAUAUCUAGAAAUAUACUUUUCAUCUUGGGCAUUAAUUCGUUAAAACUAAUUUCUGCUGUACGGCCAAGGCGGAUGUACGGUACAGCAGUGCUUUCUCUUGGAGGAGAAUUCCCAUUAUAUACUAUGAAUACAAGCUUAUGUUUAGCCCUAAAUGUUGUGCGCAGAAUGCGGAAUCAAGCGCACCAAAUAAUUAUAGAAAAAUAAAGGACACAAGAAUUACAUGGUUCAGUAAUUAAACCUACAUCCACGGAGGCAAAAAAGAAUAAUUGUUUAUUUAACAAUUAAUAGAAUACAAUAUUUGAGUAACGAAUCUCACUUCCCAGAAACCCAAAUAUACCCAGUACUCUCACACUCUGCAGGAAAGAUAAAUUCCCCAGAUACACUUCUCUCACUUCUCUCAAAAGCUUAGAAACUUAUAAG